CAAAAACAUUGCCUCUCGACUCAACAAUGAGAGGUUCAUCCUGCCCAAUGACAACAUAGUUCAAUGGCCGCGGUACCCUGACCGUGCAAAGGUAGCAUAAUCACUUGCCCCUUAAUUAGGGGCUGGCAUGAAAGGACACACGAAAGCUUCCCUGUCUCACAAUAACAAAUAAAAAUUAAUCUUCAAGUGAAAAAGCUUGAAUGAAACUGCAGGACAAGAAGACCCCGUUGAGCUUUAUUCUCUAUAGACUAAAUCAAAUAUUAAAUAUAUCAUAAACCUAAAAAGAAUUUAGUUGGGGUGACUAAGGAACACCAAAAACUUCCUUUUAUUAGUUAGGAUCAUUCUCCCUACAAAUUGACCCAUUACACAUGAUCAAAAAAAUAAGCUACCACAGGGAUAACAGGCUAAUCUUUCUCAAGAGCCCAAAUUGUCAGAAAGGAUUGGCACCUCGAUGUUGGCUUAGGGGCCCCUAAUGGUGCAGAAGCCAUAAAUGGUAGGUUUGUUCAACCUUUAAAACCCUACGUGAUCUG
rnacentral:rRNA from 1 species